UGAAAAAAUUGCGCGCUAAUAAUUAAACGAAAACAAAAGCGAGCGCGUAGAGAGAGAGAGAGAGAGAGCGGGCCAUGGCGUCGUCGUCUUCGUGGGAGGAGGGGGACGCGGCGGCGGCGGCGGCGGCGGCGACGGACGUGGAGCUGCUGAAGAGGGCGUGGCGGAACGAGAAAGCCGCGCCGGAGAUCCUCCGAUUCGAAGCCGCACUCGUCGCCCGCGCCCGCGAGCAGAUCCAGCUACUCGAAGAGACAGUGGAAGAGUUUAUGGAGAAUGGGGUUGAUGAUCUCGUCGUCUCCCUAUACCAAAUGGAUCUGGAUCGCACGCUCUUCCUAUUGAGAUCAUACCUUCGAAUCCGUUUGCAAAAGAUUGAGAAAUACAUGAUCCACAUCUCAAAAUCCAAUCUUUGGAAUCGGCUCUCUGAACAAGAGCAGAGGUUUGCUAAAAGGUGCACUGAGAUCAUGGAGAAACAUCUCGAACAGUCGGUGCUGUCAAAGUUGCCUUAUGGUUACCAAUCCAUGCUAAAGCAGUCAAUUUCAAGUGAAGAAGAUGACAUGGUUCCAGAGCCCCAGCUUGACACGUUCGUCUUCUGCAAGACAAAGGGUGCUGUUGGAGCAUUCCAGCUUGAUGACAUAGGGGAUGAGAUUGUGGACUUGGUUGCUGAUGACUUGUAUGUCCUUCGCUACAAAUCUAUAAAGGGUCUUGUUGAGAGCGGCCAAAUCGACCUUGUAUAACUUAUUCAGGAAAUGCGAAGUGGUAGUAUCUGAGCUUGGAAAGCCGAGGUGGAUCUUGAGAAGUGAACUGAACCAAACUACAAUAUGCAAGUUGUGAACUGCCCAAACCAACAUAGAACCUGAAAUUCGGACAUGCAACCUUCACCUUCACGGAUGCUCAGCGUUGCAAUCGUUGCAGAUACUCUUUUGUCUUGCUUAUAUGUGGUGGAUCAGGAAACAGGAUGCUUCGCGUUGAUUCGGUUUAUCUUUUGGGGGCCGUUCGUUUUCACCAGUUUGUACUUUGUACUUUCUAUUCGGAAUGAUGAGAUUGUCAUUGUGCAACUUGUACGAGAGUGCGUUAAGGUGCUUGUUGAAAAGUAACUAUAUGUCGCGAUGCUUCUUGUUCCUUCCAGCCCGAGUUGCACUAUAACUAUUGUCGUCAUUUGGAAUAUUAGAAAAUUUCGAACAUUUCUGGAAUGUUACAAAAUUGGUUGAUCGAGCGGCCCAGAAAAGUGUUGUCUAUGCCUCUUUCCGAUAUGAAAAAUGUUGCGGAUACUCUUUUAAAUCAACUUCAAUCAACUGUUCAUCUUACAGUGUUGUAAAUUGAAUUGAGGGUGUGUGUGUGUGUGUACCUUUGUUAUCCUUUUGAUGGUUGUUUAAAAAGAGAAACUUGUAAGUUGUAACUGGGAUAAUUCAUAGGUGUUUUUGUUGGACCCAUUUUUAA